ensembl:rRNA 5S_rRNA 5S ribosomal RNA
AAUGGCGGCCAUACCUCCCUGAACACGCCCGAUCUCUUUUGAUCUUGGAAGCUAAGCAGGGUCGGGCCUGGUUAGUACUUGGAUGGGAGACCGCCUGGGAAUACCAGGUGCUGUAAGUC